CGGAGGAUGCGAGCGUUAUCCGGAUUUAUUGGGUUUAAAGGGUGCGUAGGCGGGCUGUUAAGUCAGCGGUCAAAUGUCGGGGCUCAACCCCGGCCUGCCGUUGAAACUGGCGGCCUCGAGUGGGCGAGAAGUAUGCGGAAUGCGUGGUGUAGCGGUGAAAUGCAUAGAUAUCACGCAGAACUCCGAUUGCGAAGGCAGCAUACCGGCGCCCGACUGACGCUGAGGCACGAAAGCGUGGGUAUCGAA
rnacentral:rRNA from 1 species